UUUGCUCUUUGUGAUGUCGCAAGCAUGCUGGUGGUUGUUAUUUUUUAAUGAUAAAAAUGAGUGGGAAGUAAGCAUUACUACUGGUAUUUUGAAAUGACCUGGAAGGUACUGUCACUAAACAGAAGAGCAAGGGGCUCGAUAUUUUAGUGAAGCGACAACUAUUAGGAGCCAACAUAAAUUGAAGCCAAUGAAAUAUAGAUUGAAGAGAACUAAAUCCUAAAUGGACUGCUCAAUUAACUCAUAUCAGGGUUAAACUUGUUGUAAUGUUCACACUAUUACUUAAGAAAAAUAGAAGUGGAAUAAAAGACGACUUUGUCACUGCAGGGAGCCGAAUCUGGGAGCCACCCACAUGAUCUAUGACAUGAGCUAUAGCAAUGACUGUCCUCCUGUUCACUCUCUUGGGUAUUUAUGUACACAUAUGCAUAACCUAUCCCUGGGAAUGUUGGCCAGCACCACCUGUGGCUGUUGCAGUAGAUGUAGAACAUCCAUUCAACCACAGGAAUCAUGUAGUGUGUGUGUAUAUAUAUAUAUAUAUAUAUAUGGUACUGAUACAAAACUUUUGUCUCUCCUUUUUGCUUUAUUUCUGCUAGAUAACUUCCGACUCCGUAAUCAUGGUAGCAGGUCUCAAGUUCUCAGAUGCACAGCGAAUCACGAAUUACACAAUCCUUUACUGUGAACAAUUCAAUAUGCAUGCCAAGUGGGGCGCGGCUCUGAACUCACCAAGCGGGACUCCUCCAUACAUUACGAAAAUGGGAAGUGGUGGUUAUGCAGCUUCACAAACCGCUGACACAUGGAUUGGUGAACCUAGUGUCAUCCUGGUGCAGUGGGAUAAUAAGGGAGCGAAAAUAAAGAAGGACAUUCCACAUUCCAAAAGUAUCAACAGAGGACAAGACUUAGUCUAUUUUGAACAUGAAGAAGCACAGAAUGAAGGACAAAAGAAUGGCUCAGUCAGUGCACGCUUGGUGUUUGGCAACACAGUAUGGCUUGUGACCACUGCACUGGGCUGAUUGAUGUGCAUAUCAGCUGUGCGUGAUACGAUGUGACUGCCACCUCCGAUUUCUGUGAUGUGUACGUGGAGGAGUCCUGCUCAAGAUAUCUGGCACCAUAAAGUCGUGCUUUGCUUGGCACAUAUUUUGAACAGGUUGCAUUUAAAGAUAAUAUAAUUAGUGGUUUUGUGUGCAUUUGAGGAAGUCAGGCUCCACACCAUAGUUACAUUCAGCAGCUAAUAACUUUUAAAAAAUUGAGAUAUACAAGUUUUUUUUGUAGUACCCAUUCAGGAGCAGGCAACUAGCCAAUACCUGAAAGCGCCAAGGCUGCUUGAGUCCAAGCCCUUUAUCAAGAAUAUAAAGAUUGGUGUAAAAUAAACUUUCAUGUCUAAAUAUUUUGACAGUUCAAAUAGGGAAAUAAUACAUUUUCUCUUAUACUUUCCUUGGCUUCACUCUCUAUUGGCCUUGUAUGGCUGUUAGACCAUUAAAUGUGGCAUUAGACAAGACCCACAAUCAAAGUGCUACUUUCACCUGAAAAAGUGCUAAUGUGCCACUGCUGUAAUCUGGAGACUAGUCUGCCAUUGUGCUAAGUUUGUUAAACACUAAAUACGCCUAUCUGUUGUGCAGUAGAUAUGACAUGCCAAGUGUUCAAUGAAAAUUAAAGUUCUAGUUGCUCGCACUAAAAAGAAAAACAGAGAGAAAGACAUUGGAUAGAAGUAGAGCAGUUAAUAAGAAAAUAAGCAGUGUUGGGUUGGUAAAGGAAACCAUAUGUUAAAUAAGUAGCAUGUAUGUUUGUAAAGCUUCCUAUAUUUAAAGAGCACAGACUUGGAAGUAGUAGCAUGCCCCAUACACUCUCAAGUUCCAGCGAUCGCCACAGGGGGCGAAAAAUCAAACGCGGCGUAUUCCAGCAUGAGCGCGCAAGUGUACUUACUGUAAUUUGGUCGCAUACUGUAAUUUGUAUUUUUUCUGCUAGGGGCGCUCAACGCGGCUAAAUACUUGAUCUAUAAAUGUACAUAUAGUAACUGUCAAACAUAGUUAACGUGUAAUUUUUGCAGAAUAAAGAGACUAUUGUUUUUAUUAGACUUACAUUAUUAAAGCCUGCGCUUUAUUACUUGAAUGAAGGUUUUGAGACCUCACUGAUGCGUGAUAAGCAGCGGCCCACUGGUAUCGAUUGCAGUCCGGGCCGUUUAUCGAUUCAAAUUGUACGGCGGUUAAAUUUGUGAAUGGGGUGGUUGUUUCCUUUGAGCAACAGCACGCAGGUUCGUUUUAAUUGGACAACAAUAAUAUCUCAGCCAGUUUAUGCGUCCGACAUUCGGUAGCUGCUACCAGGCGAACAUGUUUAAAGACGGGGAAUUUUAUCAGCUGCGGCAUUUCACUGGCGUAAUGGCUACAUGCACGGGUUCCGUCCACAGUGAUCUGCCCUGUCUGGCCGCGUAAUGACGGGUUGCUUGAAACAAAAUGUGCUAGCUAGCGUGAAAACUCGUCGCUGGAACCGAGCACAGUCCACUGUCUGGAAACUACCCAAGAAAACGGAUUAACCUUGCAGCCUCUGGGUGUGUGCACCGGUGAGUAAAAAAACACUGCUUCGCAUUUUAAACUUUAAAUUUCAGUGGGUGCGAGACAGAUAAAACAGAUUCCUGUACUCUUUUUUUUUUUUCACAGUGGAAAAUCAUAAUAAAGUUAUUGCUCUUCAAAGGCAAAUCAAACAAGGCUCUUGUUAUUUUGUCACAUUGCUAAAAUUCCUAACACAGAGUACAAUAUGAAAAUAAAUAGUUUUGGCUGUGUCUGCAUGAAUGACACACUGCGAUAAAUUCCGAGCACAUUAGUGUAAGUGUACUUCCGGUGAUACAGUUGGACUAAUAUAAUUUGAUACGUAAUAAAAUUACUGUGUUUAUUGCCUAGUAACUGGCAAAACAUUUAAUCGAGGCUUCACUAAGCACAGCCCGCACAAGGACACCAUUGAACGAAAUGUACACUCAAAACAGUGUUGUGUGCGUGUGUGUGUGUGCUUUUCUGUCGUGGAGUGUUUUGUGCGCUGUUCUUAGUCAUACAUGAAUCACAAACUCACCCACACUUCCACCAUAGUAAUUGAGGCUGUUUCUUCUUUUGCCUCCAGCCUCCAGUUUGCUGCUAAUAUUUGAUCACCCCUUUGGACUCUAUUGUCUCUGGACAUACAAGUCAACAGUGAAUGUGUCACCACAGAGUCAGAAUCCUCGCACGGAAGAAGGACAAAAGAGAGAUUAUUGCUUUGCAAGCUGCCCACGCCAAGGCAUAAGAAGCUCAACGGUCACCAUAAUGACAAGUCCUCUUGAACUACGUGCCUCACCAUGAAAUGUUUGCAAGUUUAUCAGACAGAGGGCUGUGAGCCCUAUCAGGAAAGCAGCAGUCUACAGUUUUGUAUCGUACCGAGCGGAAAUGCUAAAAUUUGACAUACAAGCUUGCUUGAUUUUAAGGGCGUUUUAUGGCAAUCGGAGAAGUAACAAGUUGAGUCACAACUUGUUUGUUUUCUCGUCAUGCAGCAAGCUCCCACUUGGUGAUGCACAAACUCUGUCAUCUGCUAUUUGCUAAUCAGAUUGACGGGCAUUACAACCAAGUAUCACAUGCUGCAUCAUAGCGUUAAUUUGUUACAUGAAACUGCAAAGAACUUUAAAGCCUUCGAAACCACUCAGUGCAAUUUUGAGGAAAUGAUGCUUCAUGUUCACUGAAACUCUGGCAGUCACUUAUCACUUUAUUAUUCUAUUUUUUAUUUAAAGUACGCUCAGGGCCGUAUGCCAUUAAAGAGGGGAGUGGUUACAAAGCAGUAGAGUAAAAGAAACGAACAAGAGCAGUGAGUUCUGGUAAUACAAUGAUUCUCCUGAUUAUACAAUGUUAGCUAAUGUUUUGCUAAAAAAAGCUUGUUGUCGGUGAUGGCUACGAUACUUGAGGGAAGGUGGUUCCAUUCCUGAGAUGUAUGGGGGAUCAAAGAUUGAAAGAAAGACUUCGUGUAGCAAGAAUCAAUCCCUGCAUUACUUCGAUGAUCGAGGCAGUUUGAAAUGUACUUGAGGCCGCGGUAUGAAGUCGUCGUGAAGUGUGGUAUGACGGAAAAUUUUAUGAAAUAGCGAAACAUGGUGACUGUGGCAAUUAGCUUGGGGAAUAAGUGCUGGUUAGUUUCAUUAAGGUUAUACUCGCAAUAUGGUUAUAAUUAGAAAGAAUGAAACGAGCAGAGUUAUUUUGUACUAGUUUUAAGUGAAGUAGUAAGACUAACGCGACUGGGAUCCCAUAUUGGAGAUGCAUAUUCAAGUUUUGAGUGUAUCAGCAUCUUGUAAAGGUGUAGUUUUAAAGUAGACAGUGCUUUGGAAAAGUUGCACUGUAAGUACCCGAGCAGGUGAAUAGCAUUGUUAAUGACAUACUCUAUAUUGGUCCAAUUUAAAUUAUUUGUUAUGUGCACACCAAUAUAUUUAUAGGACAUGACAAAUCUAAGUGAACAUUGUUAAGAUGGUAAGUGAUAGGGUUAGAACUAGAUUGGGAUAUUGCAUUUUUCAUUUGUUAACUACAAAAGGCUCAUGUACAGUUUGCAUGAAAUCAGUGACUAGGCUAGCCCUGCACCGUAAGAGAUGCCUAGAACAGGCAACAUCACACAACUGGCCUACUCCACACUUUUCAAACAUGACAAACCAAUAAAAAUCAAUUUUUCUUUUUCUUCAAACAGCAGAUGACAUACCUGAGGACAGUGUAUUCACAAAAAGUUUUUGAAACAUACUUGAAGUCUGGCUUCAGCCAAUCAUUCAGCCAAUCAGUAGUGGACAAUCAAACAUUCAGCCAAUCAACCAUGGAUGAGCAAGGGAAGCCUCAGCGUGGGAACUUAUCUUCGUCACUGCCCUCACAAAUAUGUUUGAUUGUUGAAACGUUGGCUACAGGCUGAGGCUUCCCUUGCCCACCUCUGUUACUCAACUGACGUGUUCAUCUCCUUGUAACCUUCUUGCAUUAUUUGAACACGCAAACCGAGAUGUUUUUUAAUAUGAAACCGUAAAUUGCAUUUUACAAGGAUCCGUGAGCUAUAAUUGGCCAUACUUAUAUGUUUAUUUAGUGUCCUUGUUUAUACACAAUAUUUGCAGAGGUCCUUGUAAGCACUGUCGUUUCCAUUAUGUUCCUCGCCUUCCUAUGAGUAUUCCACUUGCGUCAAAGCCUUUCCUGCUGCACCUGAACACUAAAUGUGCAGCAGAAAUAUCAAUAACACAGAAUAUGUGCUCUAAAAUUUAGCACAACACUUUUUUUGUCUACACUUCGUGCCUAUCGCCAUUCUGUUAUGAAAACAAUGUGACAUUGCAGCUCGAGCUUACCUUCCUGACAGUACAUGUUUGCCAAGCACUUCUUAUGUUUCUUUUUUUAAUCUAGCUUAAAUCGUCAAAGGCAGACAACAUACGUAUAGUAUGAAACAUGUCAAAUAGCACUGUACGCAACACAAGCACGAGUGUAGCCGAGCACAAUAUCGUUGUCCUUGCUUUAGCGACGCCAAACACGUUGAGAAAACUUCGCUCGAUUUCAGUUUUUAAUUCCGUUAAAUAGAUUACUGUCUGUGUUUCUGUAUGUUGUAAACUCAGUAACUGACAGCAUUAGCUCCACCUGACCUGUACGAAAAUUGUGGUCAUGUACUGCUUCAUUCACGAUUGACAAUAAACAAUGUAAGCUUA